GUCCUCUUUGAAACCUCUGAACGAUGAUGCGGCGGUGGAGACAAUCAAGAUCCGUAACGGUGUCUGUAGACUGUAGUUAACUCUACUACGUAUUAGGCUUAAGCCUCCGACGAGGCGAUGACAAGGAGCGAGUAGAACAUUACGCACAUUGACCGUAUCAGUUAAAUUUACUUGCUUUGAUUUAUGACGAUUCAGAAGUCCAGAGAGAAGGUGUUGACGAAUUCGAUGCAACCAUCACAAAACAGUUCUUCUUAUAUCUCUGAAAGCUGGAGUCGAACUGAAUCUAACCGCAUCUUCACACAUCUUCUUAACGGUUACCAUUUCUGUUCAAACUUGCGUUUAAAUUCUUCUUGAUUAUGAAGAGUUGAUGAUUCCUCCGUUUCUUGAAAUGCUUAUGAUCCAUCAGUGGAAGAGCAAUCGAUCAUAUGAGAAUUAAUUUCGUAGGGCAGAGAAAAUGGCAUGUGGAAGAAGCUUCAUUGUUAAAGUAAUAUUAUAAAGUGCAUUUUCAUUGAGUUUCUUACACCUGGUGGAGCAUGCAAAGUGCAAAUUGUCUUACAUUGAGAACACUUCUGGCGGUAACUCAUAAAGCUUCUCGCUAAACAGGAGGAGUUAGAUUUUGCGUGGAGCAGCAUAUGAUUUGGGGAGGAUGUUGUUUCAACCGUGACAAGGAAGAAUCUUGAGAGCUAUGGUUUCCCUGCUUCCUGAAUUGGUUCUAAACAAGCAGAAGAACGUCAAGAGAAAACGGAACGUUAUGAUCUGGUUGGACAUGAAGCUUGUGGAAUGCAACUGGAUCGCUUGGUGCAACUUGCAAGCAAUUUUAUUGUAAAACAAACCAUGAGAAAAAGGUGGUCAAGGAAGGUGAUGGAAGAUCUAACUCCAUUAACGGAGCUAUAAUAGAAGAAACUUUAAAGCUUGUUUCAAAGAGGACGACAUGUAAAUUGAAGUGAAUGAUUAGGGUUGGGGACAUGGGCCACGAUAAACUAACGAAAGACAAAGCCCAAAACCCACCUCAAUUACCCAAUACGCAGCACUUCAUUAAUCUGACGUGUCAAGCUUUGGGUGAGCCAAUUUCUGAGCUGGCAUCUGAUGUGGCUUCAUGGGAGAGAUGAAAAGGUUUCUUUAUAUAUAAAGAUACUAUCAGUUUUUUUUUUAACACCAUAGUAUCAGUUUUUUGUCUUUUUUUUUGGCAUUUAUGAAUUGAUCCCAAUAGUCUAAAAGCUUCCGUUCAUAUUGAUAAAGCCUUU